AUGAUGAUUGUACUGUGACUACC
rnacentral:miRNA from 1 species